AUCAUGUUUGCAGGCACCAGGAAUCAGACCUUGAAAAUAUAUUUGGAGGGGAUAAAAUAUAACCCACAACAAUCCUGGUAGUCUGUAAUAACUUUCAUGAUAAGACAAAAUGAUAUAGAGCUACCUUUUCUCAUUUCCUAUUAAUAGACCCAUAAUAUAAUAUAGUAUACUAUAGGGUAGGAUAGUAUAGAAUCAGCCCUUUUAACUUGAAAAUGAUAUUUUGAGACCUCAAUUUUACUACUAGGAUGGCUUGUUACUGGCUUAGUCUGUACUUCUAAGCCAUUUCAAAUGCUAGAGAUUGGAAAUAAUUUUAUUUCUUACAGAUAAAAUAAUUAUAAAUACGUAAUACAUAUCAAAUUCAAGAUUUAACCUUAUCAAACCUUACAACUUCUCUAAUUGGAGAAUGUCCUGGUUCUCAAUAAUACAGUGCAUUUAUUUUAUUACACAACACACAUAAAAACAAUUUAAAAUAAUAAAACUAACAAUAUCAGCAACAUUAUUACUAAAAACAGUUUUAAAAUCUUUAAUUUUGCAUUUCCCCCCACAUUUACAUUGACAUUAUUGUGUAUUGUGUUAAUACACAAUAAAACUAUUUUUCUGCGUAGUUGUGCCAAAAGUUUGGUGUACUUUCAGGGUUACUUCUUUAAAUUUAUUUUCAAUUGUUAAGGUCUUUUACGAAAAAAAACCCUUUAUUUGUAAGUAUAUGUCAUGGUUUAUGUUGGUGGCCCCCAGGCCUCAUUCGUUUGCAUUGUGCAUUUGUGAUUGGUUCAUUGUCUAGUGCUUGGAUUGGAGGUGUGAGUGCUACACUGGCCUAUGGGUGGAGCCAGGAUGUAAUGUAUUGGUAGGAAGAGGUUGUGUCUCUCUCUUGCAGGUUUCUGCCUUGCUGUUUACAGCCGCCAUGAACUGCGGCCCUGCCACGCCACCCUGCCUGGGAGCCAACUAAAUAUGGACUGAAACCUCCAAAAACUGGUCUUGCUCUCCCUUGAACUCACUAUGCAGCACAGACUGGCCUGAAACAUAUGAAUCUCCUGUCUCAGCCUCCCAAGUGCUGGAAAUGCAGGCAUGCACCCCCACACCCAGCUGUACCUCAGACUACGUAAUACGCCUUAAGAUUCCUUCAUCAAAAUAUGCCUUCCCACCAAUCCAAAGAUUAACUUGCUAUUAAUUAGUCUGAAGUUUUGGAAGGAGUACCUGAAUGACCCUGCUUGGAUCUGGGUUUACAGUGUCCUGAUGUACUAUGGACAAGUGGCCGGCAUCCCCUUCUACAAAAGCGACUGCGAGAGGUUCAUUGUAGACAUCCAAGAUACUUUCCCAGAAAAAGGAGCCACACCAUGAAGAGUUAUCAGUGUCUGUCUGAGAAGAAGCCAGAGUUCUCUGUUUUGUUUCAUGCUCACCACAAUACCACAGUACCUCAAACUUUGCAUAAGUGCCACCAAAGGAUGUCUUAGUGUUCAGAUGAACUCAUGAAUGGUCUGGCCAGCUGGGUCUCUCACCCCUGGCCAGAUGCUCUUGUUCACUGCUGUCUUACAGUCUUGGUUGUGUUCUGUUCUGUUCGGCACACUACAUUCACACCACAUUAGGUCUUUCACUAGAGGGCUCAUUAAUGGCAUGCCUCUUAUUCUCAAAAGUGUCCUGGUUUUUAUAAACUAUAUGUUCUAUCUGUCCCGAAAGCACAAAUUUUACAGUGGUCUAAGGCAGAGAUUUUUGUGACUCUUGUUAGAUGUUUCCAAACAGUGCAGUUUGUGCUCCAACUCUACAUUUUAUAAAGUGACAGAGAAAUCCAAUUUUUAGUUUGGAACCCUAAAUUAACCAAAAGGAAGGGUGUUCAUUGAUUAAUACAAGGAAACAAGGAAAGAGCCAGAAGGCAGAGCUUGCUUCAGUAGUCACUUGAUCCAGAAUUUCAAACAUUAGAGACCUCACUCUUUCUCUGUGUUUUGUCUGUUUCUUUCUGUGAAAUAACUUUUUUCCCUUGGACUUAUCCCCAUGAGGCUAAAAACUUUCACACUGCCAGCAACCUUGUGCCUAUGUCCUCAAGCUUCACAAUCAAAGAAUUCAGAACUCCUGUUGAGAAGACCCUUGGAGAGAGCCUGUUGAUUAUUUGGGGGCAAAUGCCCAUCACCAGACCAGUCACUGUGGACAGAGGAUGAAGAAUUUGGGUUAGCAGCGCCACCAGCGUCCUGCUAUGACAAAGCACACCAAAUGAAGACACUGACCACAUAGAAUGUCCCUAGCGUUUACUAUCAGUCUAUUUUAUCCAAGACUGAGAAGUGGGGACAGAGCUGAAAUAAACAAUAGAAAGCCCAACAUCCUUCCUUUUCUACAACUAAGGUUUUCUGAUGAGCGCUGCAGAUCCAUGGACCACACUUUGAGCAGCAGAAGACUUGGAACAGCAACAAAUGGAAGUUACUCAAAAAGCAGGGCUUCAGCUUUGAACUGCUCUGUAGGAACAGUGCUGAAAAGGUUGCAUGGAGUAUCUUCAGGGGCAUAAGGACAGUAAGAAUUUACAGGAAUGACUGCUAGUCCAGAGCAGCCAAUAAUAAUCACCACAAUCAGGAGAUGCUAUUGCUGGGAACUUCCAGGAACUUUCAUUUGGAUCUGGCACCAAACAAAACUACGAAGGGAGAAUCAAGUUAACAAAACUACUUGGUAAGUUGGAAACUUCUUUGCACCCCGGCCCAAGUCACACUUGAGAAUAAAGAAAUUGACCAUUUUUAUCACUUUAUCUGGAGGAGGGGACCAGCCCUUCCAUGUGCUUCGUACUGAAAUUUAAAAGUAAUCAGUUCUCAAGUUUCCUCAUGGGCUUAUCUAUCCCUUCACUCUACCACAUGAUAAUUGAGUAUUAUUCUGUACUUUCCUCGGAUAUAGCUUUGAAUGUCUAGAAACUGAGUAGGGCUCCAGCCAGCAGUUGAGUACUAGAAUUGCAACCUGAUCCUCAUUGGAGAGGACAGUGUGACUUGAGAGAAGAUAGUUAUACUGGCAUGGUGCUCAUAAACAUCUUAGCUAUUAUAUAAAUCCCACGCCUAGUGUCAAUUGAUGUCAAUUUCAGAAAUAAGACCAUAUAUGAUUUAUUUGGAAUCAGGCACUGGAAAAGCCAAUGCUAUUACUGGAAGGAAUUUGACACCACUGAGCUUCUCUGGGAUAAAGUCUAAGUACACAGUAUUUUGAAAUGAAAUGGUAGCCAUAGAGAAUAUUAUAUGACUGAGGCUAUAACACCAUAACCAAUUAGAGAGUUUGGGAAAGGUUUGGUUGUGGACAGGGAAAGUAAGUGGGAGCUUGAGCCCUGGGCUGCAGUUCUCUUCCCUGUUAAAAAAGUCUUUGCCUGGGGUAUUUGAAAGGUUUGUUCCAAUCCUACCCUUUGAAUCAGGGUGCUCAGAAGAAUUAGUGCUGACCUCCAGAACUCUCAAACCCCUUAAAAACCAAUGCUCCUUGCGACUUGUGUCAGACAAGGGGCUUCCUAUUUGAAGAUCUGUGCUCACCUGCUGUCAUGAAGAAAGACAUCUCAGUCCACAUACUCAAAUGACCCAUGGGCAGGGAAAUGUGAAACAAACAAAAAAAUCACCAAUGGAGCUCUGAAAUCUCAGCAGAGUUGGGAGCACAAUAUGAGCUUAUUAUUAGCAGUAGCAAUCAGGAACUCUAUGGGGGAAGCCAUUAUAAUUUUCUCUUUGCAAAGAUGUGUUAGAGUCCACAGCUCACUGACAUUAAAUGACUUGUAUAAAGUUACAGGGUUGUAGAUAGAAGUGGAGAACAGAGGUUUCCUGGCUUUGUGUACCAAAAUCCUAUCCAAAACCUUGUAGAAUUGAAGUUAAUGGGGAGGGAAAUGAGAAGUGAUUAAGAAACAGAGAAACUAGAAGGGGAAAAAAAAACCCGUCAUUAUAGUUGGGGGUGUAUGUGCAAAAGGAAACAUGUAAUCAUCUCAAUUUGAGGGGCCUCAAUGUGUGGGCACACACAACACACUGGGAGAAAGGAAAUGGAAGACUGGGUUCCCUGGUCAAAGGAGUGAGCAGUGUAACUGUGGAAAUAGGACACAUAUAAUGGAUGUACAUAAUAACACAAGUAACAUAAGUACAAAAUAUAUAUCUAAGUGAUGACAGCUGUAUGAGGAGCCCGGAGGUAUGCAAGAGAGAAGAAGGGAGGUAAUUGGAAAAGUGUGUGUGGGUAGAAAGAUGAUUAAUAGAAAGCAGCAGUAUUUGCAUGUACCUGGGAAAGGCAGUGGCUGCUGAGGCAGAUUGAAGGCAGCUCCCUGGGGCCAACACAGAGGCCUCCACAGGGCUCCAAAUUUCUAGGACUGGAGAAAGUAGAGCAUGAAAUUUCCUCCCAGGCACAGUCUGCUUGGAAUGAGAAGAGGUUAAAUAAGUGAAAAGUCCUUUGUAAUAUAUGAGAAGAAAGGAAAAGACAAGCAAAGGGAUGGCUCAAAACCGCAUGUACAUGGGAGCACAGUUGUGAAAACAAUUGUGUCAAGAGUUUAUUUCCUUAGCUUCACUACUUGCUACUUUGCAAAGCAUGUUGUUGGCAUAUCUUUUAGCUUCCAACUUGAGAAAAACGUUUGUGAAGCUCAAAAGAUUGCAAAUGUGCAAAAUAAGAUUCUUAUUCAACAAACAAAACCUUACUGUUGGAAGCUGAGAGAUUUGGAAUAUGGUUGAUAGAUACAAAUUAAUGGGGAAAACAAUCCAACAACAUAUCUGUGCUGGCUGUACUUCCUGUAACAUAGAAGUUCUACUUGCACCUGAGAGAGGACAGGAAGCUCUCACAUACUCUCCUACUUCCUUUUCUUUUUUGUCCGGUUAGAUAUGUGCCUUGCUAAGCAUGGAACCUUUGUUUCUUCUAAAGAUGUGGCCCUUCACCUCAAUACAGGUUCAUUCACAUUGGGGCCCACUAAACAGACAGUGGCUUGGCAUGGCUGAUGAGGCCCUUCAUGUGACACACAGUAGUCAGGGACAGAGACCUUUUGGUUUCUGUAGUGUGCUUGCAGCGAAUCAGAGCUUUCAAUAUAUUCAGUUGGGAUUAGCAUGUCAGAGAUUGAUGCCUUGGAAGGAAGGCAAAACACACGUCUUUCCAGGAGAGGCAACGCAAUGGACGGCAUGAGUGAUGAAGCACUGGGCUGUGUGCUACACACAUCUACCUCACUUCUGGGUGUAGACCUAAGGUGACAAAAUCUGUACUCACUUGCAUCAUAACCUGCUUGAGUUCUGGAGCAUAACAGUAUAGCCUGAUGAAUUGGCACCAGGAUGGACCAGAAAUUGAUGUUCCACAUUCCCAGAUAUUCCUGAUCCCUUUAAAACUAAUGACUUAGAGUGACUGCAUAGGAGUAGAGGUAAUUUACUGUAAGAAGCCAUCUUUAUCAAAUUGUUGGCAUCCUGGAUAACAUACUCCCUGUUGUGGUUUGUGUCUAGAUGUCCCCCCAAAGGCUCUUGCAAUCUUAGAUGGGGCUUUUCAGAGGGGAUUAAGUUUGUGAUUGAUUCAAAAUCCAAUGCUGAGAGUAAGAGUGUGAGUAUAAGGGACAGAAUGAGGACCGUCCCUUCUCUUCCCCUCACAUUGCUUUUGCUGUCUUCAUCUCCAUGAAUGGUUGCCCAUUUGCCAUGUGCCACCUGGCCUUGGAGCCAGCCGAUUAUGGACUGAAACCUCUACAAACUGUGGGCCAAAUAAAUCUUAUCGCCUUUAACGUU